CAGUGAAAAGCCAAACUAGAGGCAUUUAGCUGUUAAUUAAAACACUGAAAAUUUAUUUCUUCACUGG
rnacentral:tRNA from 1 species